CCUUAGAUUAAUAAAACCUAGAUAGAUAGUCAGUGCACGAAAGGUGAGGCAGAUUUUAGUAAGCCAGAAUGGCUUACUCGUAAACGUCACAUGAACUGUCAAAGUGAAAAAUUGGUAAACACGUCCGACGACUUUUAAUUAAUUAAGACGGUUUGUGCUGUGAAAGGGUGUCUAAAUACAUCAGAAAAACUAAAGAAAGUGACCAGUGUUACAUUUCAUAAGUAAGUACUACGAUUCGACGCGUAUUUUGCUUGAAUUUGGCUUUCAAAAAUUAAAUACGGGAAUGAUACCAGUAACAAGAAAAUUUAUUUCCCAAUUGUUCGCCGUACAAAUACACUUCCUUUUUUAUGAAAUCGAGACUUUUCAGUCGAUUUAUCUUAUUGUAAUUAGGUAGGUACUUUGAAUUCAAUAAAUAAGUAAGUACAUGA